ensembl:snoRNA
CCUGUCCCUAGAGAGGUUACAAAUGUGGCUGCUGUGUCACAUGUGUAUUAGUAGUUGGCAUAAAGGAGAUAGGCUCUGUCAAUGCUUAGUUUUACCUAUAAGUAUUUGAUUGAUUGGUAGCCUAACAUU